rnacentral:rRNA from 1 species
CACGUAGGGUGCGAGCGUUGUCCGGAAUUACUGGGCGUAAAGGGUUCGUAGGUGGCCACUUAAGUCAGACGUGAAAUCCCUCAGCUUAACUGGGGAACUGCGUCUGAUACUGAGUGGCUUGAGUGCAGGAGAGGAAUGCGGAAUUCCAGGUGUAGCGGUGAAAUGCGUAGAUAUCUGGAGGAACACCGGUGGCGAAGGCGGCAUCCUGGACCAACACUGACGCUGAGGAGCGAAAGCCAGGGGAGCAAACGGG